GGGCCAGACUCCUACGGGAGGCAGCAGUGAGGAAUAUUGGUCAAUGGACGCAAGUCUGAACCAGCCAUGCCGCGUGCAGGAAGACGGCUCUAUGAGUUGUAAACUGCUUUUGUACGAGGGUAAACGCAGAUACGUGUAUCUGUCUGAAAGUAUCGUACGAAUAAGGAUCGGCUAACUCCGUGCCAGCAGCCGCGGUAAUACGGAGGAUUCAAGCGUUAUCCGGAUUUAUUGGGUUUAAAGGGUGCGUAGGCGGCCCGGAAAGUCAGGGGAAAACGCCCGGGGCUCAACCCCGGCGAGCCGUUGAAACUGUCGGACUAGAGACGGCGAGAAGUACGCGGAAUGCGCGGUGUAGCGGUGAAAUGCAUAGAUAUCGCGCAGAACUCCGAUUGCGAAGGCAGCGUACCGGCGCCGGACUGACGCUGAGGCACGAAAGCGUGGGUAUCGAACAGGAUUAGAUACCCCAGUACU
rnacentral:rRNA from 1 species